GCGGAUGGUAGCAAUCAGAAGCCAUCUGGCUACCGCCCUUGCCAAGGUUGGGGUCGAGCGUUCGAAUCGCUUCACCCGCUCCA
rnacentral:tRNA from 1 species